GGAACGACAUGGGGGUAAGUGAUUAAUGACAAAAUUUUUAUUUUGGGGUGGCGUAUCCCUUUAACACAGACAUUUAAGAAGGG